AGUGAAUGCUGAACAUCAGAUAGUUUCUCCUGUUCAUUGAAACCUUGUUGUACAGAUGGAACAUUGGCUGUGGAUUCUUCUUGCUGCUCUUUUCUUUGAGUGUAAAGGAGAAGACAAAGUGAUCCAACCAGGAGGAGAAGUCAUUGCUGCUGAAGGAGACUCUCUCACACUCAACUGUACCUUUGAGACCAGUACAGUCCCAUAUUUGUUCUGGUACAAACAAGAAGUGAACAGUUACCCAAAGUACAUGUUGAGACGUUACUCAAAAACAAAAGAAAACGCUCCAGAGUUCAAGGAAGACAGAUUUGAUGCUGAACUCAAAGACAAAUCCGUUCCUCUGAAGAUCCAGAAGCUUCAUGUGUCUGACUCUGCUGUGUACUACUGUGCUCUGCAGCCCACAGUGACAGGAAACAGUGAAACUCUGUACAAAAACCUGCAGGGUAAACACAUUACACCACAAUAUCUGAAAGAAACCUCAACUCUUGAAAAAUACCAGCUACCACCACUGGAGGACACUGAAGAACUGCCUGUUACAUUUGAUCAGACCAGGUUCAACUACCUGGGCAAAGUUUAA